GUGGGGAAUAUUGCACAAUGGGCGAAAGCCUGAUGCAGCAACGCCGCGUGAGGGACGACGGCCUUCGGGUUGUAAACCUCUUUUAGUAGGGAAGAAGCGAAAGUGACGGUACCUGCAGAAAAAGCACCGGCUAACUACGUGCCAGCAGCCGCGGUAAUACGUAGGGUGCAAGCGUUAUCCGGAAUUAUUGGGCGUAAAGAGCUCGUAGGCGGUCUGUCGCGUCUGCUGUGAAAUCUGGAGGCUCAACCUCCAGCCUGCAGUGGGUACGGGCAGACUGGAGUGGUGUAGGGGUGAUUGGAAUUCCUGGUGUAGCGGUGGAAUGCGCAGAUAUCAGGAGGAACACCGAUGGCGAAGGCAGAUCUCUGGGCCGUAACUGACGCUGAGGAGCGAAAGCGUGGGGAGCGAACAGGAUUAGAUACCCUGGUAGUCC
rnacentral:rRNA from 1 species